UCUUCACUGGCAUCCCUCACCUGGUGAAGGAAAGAGAGGAAGAAGAAGCUAGAGCAAAGUGAGAUGCAGCCACCUCCCUGCACUUCUCAAGAUAAAUCAUCAGCAGAUUAAAUCCCUCCUCCAGAAAAGAUGCAGCAGUGGAAGAGCACAGCGAGAAAACUGCCAGCCUGCAGUAGAGGGGAACAAACCUGGCACUUAGAGCUGAGAGUCUAAAUGCCUAGGUGCUGGAAGCCAGUGUUCAAAGAUACUUGGGUACCUGGCGGUAGCCUUGAAGGAGAAUGCCCCCUGAUCUGACUCCAGGGACUCACUAACUUUGGGAGCAAUGGCUGUGGGAUGCAAGAAACAGCAGCUUCACCAAGGUAGAGCCUACUUACCACCAGAAACACCUAAUGGCCAUGAUUUUCACAACAGCCAAGUGAAUGGAAAACUGCUUGCUUUGGGUUUGCUUUCCCUCAAUAAAG